UGGAGGUCCAAGAGUCUGACCCAACAAACAACCUACAGAGUGAAGACCUCGAAUCUGAUUGGACGGCCUCCUAUUCAGCCACAUUUUAGGCUGUUGGGUUGUUCCAGAUAAGACAAGUACAAGAUACUUCAGAGCUGUUCUACCAUGAGCCUGACAGGAAGAACUCCAACAGCUACUGAAUGUUCCUGUGGUUCCCUCAAGGCUACAGGAGGAGUCCUACGAGGACGAGCCGGUCCACCUGAUGGAGGCCAGUCGCUGCGGUUCAAAGCCAACACCGACUACGUGGACUUCUACUGGACCACACGGAGGCCUUCAAACCGGACCAACAAGUUCAGCGACUCCCCGACUCGUGGGUCUGAGGACGCCGCCGAGCCUCGGUCCAGCCGGCCUCCUGUCUGUGGGUGUUUGAGUGCUGAGAGGUUUGUGGAUGCAUGUGAACGUUCUGUGUUGAAACAGCAGCUUUGGACUCAGUAACGCUGGGAAAAACCAAGAGCUCCUUUAUUUGUGACUUCCACUAAAAAACUGAUGAAAAUAAGUUUGCCAGGGUUCUGACUGAUAACAGAUGAUUAAAUAAUGAAAAUAACAGUUUAAAUAUUCCUUUAAACAAUCCUUUUAGGUCCACAUUUCCUUUACACUGACUUCUUGGUAUAUGUACAAGUAUUUUGGGUGGAAUAUACCAUUAAGCCCGAUGUUUAAGGGUUCUUCUGGGAAUAUACCAUUAAACCAGCCUUUUAGGUAAAUGUUCCAGGAUGUUGAGUAGAAUAUACCAUCAGAUAAAGGUCUACAUUGGAAGAUUUUAGAGUAGAAUAUUACUCCAAACCAUCCUUUAGGUCUACAUUUAAGGUGGAAUACUCCUUUAUACCAAGAUUUUCUGGUCUACAUUGAAGGAUUUUAGGUGGAAUAUUCCUUUGAACGAACUUUUUAAGUUUAUGUUCAAGGAUGUUGGGUGGAAUAUACCAUCAGACCAACCUCCAAGGUUCACAGUAGUGAAUUUUUGGUGGAAUAUACCAUUAAACUCACCUUUUAGGUCUACAUUGGAGGAUUUUAGGUGGAAUUUUCUUCCAAACCGUCUUUUAGUCUACAUGUAAGGAUGUUUAGGAUGGUAUAUUCUUCCAAACCAACUUCCCAGGUCAACAUUUCAGGUGGAAUAUUCCUCCAUACUGACUUUUUUGGUCUACAUUGAAGGAUUUUUUCUAAACCACCCUUUCGGGUCUGUAUUUGAGGUUUUAGGUGGAAUAUUCCUUUUAACCAGCCCCUCAGUCUCAGGUCAGGAUUUUGGAUGGAAUACUUUGUUAAAGCAACAUUUUAGGUGCAUGUCCGAGGAUUUUUGGUGGAAUGUUCCUUUAAGGUGGAUGUUUGAGGACCUUGUAGGUGGAAUACUUCCUGAAACCAACCUUUUAGGUCAACAUUCAAAGAUUUAAGGUGGAAUAUUCCUUUAAACCAACCUAAAUUUCAUGUUUCGAUCAUUAUCAAGGGAGAAAACUCAAUCCAGACUCCUCAUAAUGACGUUUGACAUUUAUGCUGCUGUUAUUUGUUUAGUCCAGACUAAAUGACAGAAAUCCACAACUGUUAUUUUAUUUCAGGACUCGGUUAUUAAAUGUCAAAACAAUCCAUGU
ensembl:lncRNA